CGGGCUCGGCUGCCGAUUGGCUGGCUCGCCUGCCGGUCUCCCUGCCCACCAUCUCAUUGGCCUGUGCCCCUCGGACUUCCGUGCGCAAGUUUCAGAGCCCGCUCGGACGCCUCAGCGCUGUUUAUUGAUGCUGGGGGGACAGACACUGGGCAGGGACUUGGGGGCCCUGGAACUCUCCGAAUCGCAGGGUGGGAAGGGCGCGGGCCUUCUCCGGUUGUGCCGUGUUGUAGAGGACGUCGCCUGGGGCAUCUCAGAGUGGGACGUCACCCCAGCCGGUCUGGGAGGUCAAAGAGUCGCCCGGGCCGAGCUCAGCGCCACGGCGCGCUGUGCCAGGAAGACUUUAUUCUGGGCUUCCUGGGGUGAAAGAUAAAGAGAGGUGGCGGUGAGACGCAUCCCUCUCCCCCAAGCCCCUUCCCAUCCAUAUUCCCGGGGAGCCCUUCUCAGGCACCCCACUUGGCUCACCAUCUCCAUCUGACGUUUGAGUGCAGAGAUGAGACGUCCGUAUGAGUUAGCCAGAGCCAGGGUAUACGCCAUCAGGAUGCUAGAGGAGACCGGAAUGACAGCCGCUCGCGAAACGCUCUUGCCAGUGUCACUGACUUACGAUGCCUUUGAAACCGCGGGCCUGGAUCUCUAACUUCAGACCCAGGAAGGCCAAUUUCCAUCCGACUCCUCCCUCUGACCAGGAGUCCAGGCCCCCAGCCUCCUCCCUCAGACCUAAGAGUCCAGGCCCCCGUUCUCCCUCCCAGGAGUUUGGGUCCCCAGUUCCCUCCUUUCUUAGACACACAUGCAGCAGGGUCCCCAGAUCCCACACAUUCAAACUCAGACCUGAAAGUCUGAACCUCCUCACCUGGAGAUCAGCAGAAGGGGCACAGCAAAAGCCUGGGUGCCCAGGAAGAAGAGAAAAUUCUGGGCCGUCUCAGGGAGGUCACAAAUAGAUUUGGGGAUCUGGUCCCAGAUGGAUGACUGUCCCCGGAAUGGACCGCACAGCUUAGAAGGUGGGAUCCUGAAGUCAGAGGCAGGCAGAGCUCAACAUAGUCAAGAGUCAGCGUCUUGGAUGAGGGUGAGGGAAGGGAGAGAGGCAGGCACCUCCCACACUUACAGGAAGAUGCUGUAAAGAACAGGAACAGCAGACAUGGCCAGACCCAGGAGGAGGACCAAAGGGAAGAAGAAAUUUGCAGUGGAAGCUCGAAAGGUGCGCGAGGCCGGGGAGCAGGCGGAAAAAAGUAUGAACUGGAGGGGAGAGGAGGGGAAAGCAGUGUGAGCUCCAGCCUCUCCUUUUUCACCAUCCAGUAACCCUGGCCCCCAGCCCUGUCUCAGUCAGGACCCAGGAGUCCUCAUUUUUUUCCCACCAUCAGACCCAGGAGUCAGUACCCCGCCCCUCAUCCCUCAAACCUAAAAGUCAGGAUGACCUACACCCCUUCUCUCACACCCAGUGCCCUCCCCUCUCAGGACUCAGUAGUCUGGGGCCCCAGCAUCCUCAUCCUGUAGGACCCUGAAGUCACACCCCUCAGUCCCCACCUCACCCAGCACCCAGACCCUCCUGCUUCGCCGCACCCAAGGAUCCUCCCUCCCCCUCACCUUCUUUAAAUAGAAAAGCAGCAGGAACUUGGCCGCAUUGAGUAGGGGCAGGAGAGGACAGAAAAAACUGCCCACCCAGACCACCGUCUGUGCAUAGAUGAGCCCCAGCACCUCGUCGGGCACCUGGAACUCCCGUGAUCCCAACAUGCGUCCCAGAGCUCCGGGACAGAGGCCACCGCACAGCCUGAGGGGCAGGACCAGCUGAGUCAGGGGAUUGCCGCUGCAAGUGAUCUGAUCCCAGAGAGAGAAGAGCAAGACCAUCAGGGAGGCCAGGCGGAGAAACACCGUCCUGGCAAGGGCAAGCAAGAGGAAGGGAAAUCAGCACGGACCAAGCAUCCACCGCGUGCCAGGACCUUCCUGCUGGGAAACACUCACAAUUCUCCCAUUUCACAGAUGAAGACAUUGAGGCUCAAUGACGGAGCAUGAGAAUUUGCAUCCAGAUCUCACAUCUCACUGGAUCCCAUGUCCCCCAGAUGUCUUAUCUGCUAAACUGUGUCUUUUGACCAGCCUCGCCAGCAUUCCCGCCCACCCCAGAAGGCUGGAACCUUAGCAGGACAAGAGCAAUCUGGCGGCUCCUGGUGUAGCCCUCUAUCGGGGCGAGGAGCUUGAACACGGGUGGCAGCACGAAGUUGAACCCGGAAAUGAAGGCGGACGGAAGAGAAAGGGGUAACAGAGAAGGGCUCCGGAUUCUUGGGGAGAGGGCCUCCUCCACCAUGACUCCCCUUCCACCCACCAGAGAAGGGGGUCUGGGAUCCCACGUGUCACUGACCGAUGCAGGAUGAGCAGCAGGCAGAGGAGGCCAAUGGCGAAGACAGAGCACAGGUAGGUGACCGCCAGGGGGUUGCGGCUCGGGUAGAACCCGUAGAAGAGAGGUGACCAUUCUAGAUAGCCCUAGGGAGGGGAGGACAGAGAGGGGUCACCGUGGAGUAAGGCGGCUGGAGGGUACCGGGAGCAGGAGAUGGAAGGGCCACCAGGGCACUGGGGGUUUCAGAGGUCGGCUCCCAGGGACCAGGGCACUCACCUGUCCCGAGAGCAAGUUGAAGAGUUGGCUGGAGAAGGAGACCAGGCCCUGUUGUGUGGGGUUGUAGGUGCCACACGUCGUGGAGUUGCCACCUGGGGGCCCCGGGGGAGCUUGUCCCACCCAGGUGGGCAGCAGCGUCAAGCACACCUUGAGCACGGAGGCCAGCACAUUGAGAAGCAGCAGGAAGCGCAGCAGCGAGAAGUAGGACUCGGUGCCAGCGCCAUAUUGGCCUGCGGUGGGGGUGCAGCAGAAAGGCCUGGGGUCCUAACCCCUCCCCUCCCAGCCUCCAGGGUCCAGAUCCCCAGCCCCUCCUCCCACGUAGCCAGGAGUCUGGCCACAGCCCAAGAUGCCACCCGCAGCCCCACCGCACCCCCUAUCUUCUUCAGCGUCCACGACCAGGGUUUCAAGGUGUGCAGGCCUUUCCGAAGCUUCUCUUUGGAUCUCCGAAGCUGUCGGGCCCAGUGGGUGGCUCUGGAUCCCGAGGCUUGAGCCUCUUGGUCCCUGGUGUAUCUCUGCCUGGGCAGGAAACAGAGUCAGACAGAAAGUGAAGGCCCCAGCAGUCCCCACGUGGAAGCCACUCAAGUGGAGAAACAUCGUGCCAUUGAUGGGGUGGUCCUGGGGCCCAGGCACACAGCUCCUAAAAACCUUGGCAUAUCCUCAGUGAUACUGAGAGCGGUCCAGGUGUCUGCGCGUUGACAACGCUUUCAACGGCACCCGAGUUUACCUCGAGGCCUUGGCUUUGGCGGCAGGGAGGAUGCGUACAGGCUGUCUGGGAACCGAGCUGAGCGUAAAGGGCGGGGCCUGCGCGGGAAGGAGCACCGCGGGAGAUGGGAUCUGCCCCCAGUGAGGUAAUCCGGCACACCCAGGUAAUAAAGCCUUCACUAAACCGCAAAGGACGGGUUCGGAGAGCUUCUGGGUGGGUGGACACAUGGAGAUUCGAGGGUGGUGCCCUGGAGCUGGCAUGGGAGCUCCGUGCCCUUUUCCCAUAUCCCGCUCUCUACAUCUCUUUCAUGUGGCUGUUCUGAGUUAUCCCCUUUUAUAACAAACCGGUGGUCUAGUGAGUGCAGGUUUCCCCGAUUCCUGUGAGCUGCUCUGGCAAGCUAACUGCCGCCUAUAGCCAGUCAGUCAGAAGCGCAGGCUACAGCCUGGACGUGGGCUGGCAUCUGAGGUGGGGAGGCAGCGGGUUGGCCAAGCCCUUACCCAGCGAAAGCCUGGGAGCUCCACUGUUGGCCCUCCUCCUCCUCCUCCUCCGGGGCUCCCCAGGGCAGCACCCCGGGACUUCACACUGUCCCCCAGUAAAUCAUGGGAGAAUUUCAAUAGUCAGACACGCUGCUGGUAUUAGGAAAUAGCUUGGUGGUUUGGAAAAGCUGCUCCCCCCAGGGAUUGAUCCCAGAAUUGUAGAACAAAAGGAUGAUUACUUCCAGGCCUCUCAGAGAGGCGCACAGCACUCCAUUCUCAGAAGGGCCAUAGUUGUUCAACAACAGGUCCAGCGUUUCCCUUGACACUGUGCCUGGCAAAUCAUGUAGCGUCGAGAGGAAGAAGUGAAGGGCAACAGGCUGUGAGGGGGAGGCCAAGACGGACACAAAGGGGAGAGGAAAGAUAGAGACAAUAGAUGCAGCGGGAAACUGAGGCAAAGGUGGGCUUGGAGGCAGAGAAGAGCGUCCCUGAGACAUGGAAACUGGGAGGCAGAGAAGCAGACUCGGACGGGAGAAAAGGAAUCCACCCGGGCAGAGGGAAACAGGGCAGACUGAUGGACAGGGACCCAACAAGGCGGAGGUGGCACGCGCCCCACAGCGGGGGUAUC